rnacentral:piRNA from 1 species
UGGUGCCUUCUUAGCACAUAA